GCUGGGUGCAGUGGUGCACGCCUGUAAUCCCAGGGACUUGGGAGGCUGAGACAGGAGGACUGAGGGUUCAAAGCCAGCCUCAACAACAGCGAGGCGCUAAGCAACUCAGUGAGACUCUGUCUCUA
rnacentral:sRNA from 1 species